rnacentral:rRNA from 1 species
UACAGAGGGGGCAAGCGUUAUUCGGAAUUAUUGGGCGUAAAGGGCGCGUAGGCGGCCUUUCAAGUGACGGGUGAAAGCCCUCGGCUUAACCGAGGAACUGCCUGUCAGACUGGAAGGCUUGAGACUGGGAGAGGUGAGUGGAAUUCCCAGUGUAGCGGUGAAAUGCGUAGAUAUUGGGAGGAACACCAGUGGCGAAGGCGGCUCACUGGACCGGUACUGACGCUGAGGCGCGAAAGCGUGGGGAGCAAACAGG